AGAGUUUGAUCCUGGCUCAGAUUGAACGCUGGCGGCAUGCUUUACACAUGCAAGUCGGACGGCAGCACAGGGAGCUUGCUCCCGGGUGGCGAGUGGCGCACGGGUGAGUAAUACAUCGGAACGUGUCCUGUUGUGGGGGAUAACUGCUCGAAAGGGUGGCUAAUACCGCAUGAGACCUGAGGGUGAAAGCGGGGGAUCGCAAGACCUCGCGCAAUUGGAGCGGCCGAUGCCCGAUUAGCUAGUUGGUGUAGGUAAAGGCUCACCAAGGCGACGAUCGGUAGCUGGGUCUGAGAGGACGACCCAGCCACACUGGGACUGAGACACCGGCCAGACUCCUACGGGAGCA
rnacentral:rRNA from 1 species